UACGAAGGGGGCUAGCGUUGUUCGGAUUUACUGGGCGUAAAGCGCACGUAGGCGGAUUGGUCAGUUAGAGGUGAAAUCCCGAAGCUCAACUUCGGAACUGCCUUUAAUACUGCCAAUCUAGAGUCCGGAAGAGGUAAGUGGAACUCCUAGUGUAGAGGUGGAAUUCGUAGAUAUUAGGAAGAACACCAGUGGCGAAGGCGGCUUACUGGUCCGGUACUGACGCUGAGGUGCGAAAGCGUGGGGAGCAAACAGG
rnacentral:rRNA from 1 species